UGGGUGUGGGUGUGGGGGCUGUGUGCUCAGUGUGGGAGAGCUUUGGAAGCUUUGGCCAAUGAUUGAUGGUGAUGGAGCCCAAUGGCAGUGUUGGGGCAAACAGAGCCAAUGUGUGGCAGUGGAUGGUGGGACUUUCCGGCCGCUCUCCGUCUGUCUGUGUCUGUGUUCAGGUGAUAAAGUGGGGCAGAGUUUUGCGCAAAAUAAAGAAGUCUUUGGAGGAGUGUGUACACGGGGAGAGGAGGGGAGGAGGUCUCUCGCUCUCUCACCCCCUGACUGUGUUGGAAGGUUUUUUUCACUGGGAAUGGUUUGUGGAGGACGAGAGUUUGUGAAGAUCGUGGAUUAAAAGUGGAAGGAAUUAGGAGCUGUUCCGAUGUGAAGGCUGUGAGGGACACUCGGGGUUAAAGAGCAGCAGGGAGCGGCAGCAGCGAGACCGACAGGCAGCAAAGACUGGCAAUAGAAAGGGCGAAAGACAGACAGACAGACGAUCAGCAGGUGUGUGGCAAGAAAGAGGCAGACAGACCGCGGGCUGUCCAGAGAUGUGUGUGGCUUGGCUGUAACCUCCUCACUGGGGGUGAGAGAGAGAGAGAGAGUGGGGGGGGAGAGAUGCUCAGACACGCACACGGAAUAGGAACAAGCAACGACUGAAAGACCCUGAGUGUGAAGACGGGGUGGGGGGGAAAACCUCAACAACAACAAAGACCGGAGUUCAGCCCUGAGGUUGACCCAAAAUUGACCAGAGGGUGAAAUUUAUUCCCAGAAACUUUAGCCCAACUACUCAGCUUUGUUCAGCUUCGCUCUU